GAUGAACGCUGGCGGCGUGCUUAACACAUGCAAGUCGAACGAAGAUGCCGGAGUGCUUGCACUUUGGCAGACUGAGUGGCGGACGGGUGAGUAACGCGUGGGUAACCUGCCUUAUACAGGGGGAUAACAGUUGGAAACGACUGCUAAUACCGCAUAAGCGCACGGUAUCGCAUGAUACAGUGUGAAAAACUCCGGUGGUAUAAGAUGGACCCGCGUCUGAUUAGCUUGUUGGUGAGGUAACGGCCCACCAAGGCGACGAUCAGUAGCCGGCCUGAGAGGGCGACCGGCCACAUUGGGACUGAGACACGGCCCAAACUCCUACGGGAGGCAGCAGUGGGGAAUAUUGCACAAUGGGGGAAACCCUGAUGCAGCGACGCCGCGUGAAGGAAGAAGUAUUUCGGUAUGUAAACUUCUAUCAGCAGGGAAGAAAAUGACGGUACCUGACUAAGAAGCCCGGCUAACUACGUG
rnacentral:rRNA from 1 species